UUGGUGAAGUUCAGAGCUGUUGCUCCCCAGGUCAGAACCCUUCUCUGCUGUAGACUCGGAGCUUGGUUCUAAGAAGCCACAGUCACAAGAUCUGCAGGACUUUUCUAGUUCUUCAGCUCAUGUCGACUUCUGUGAUGUACAGAGAGGAGAGAAGGUUGUCACAUCAGAUGAACACAAAGAAAUAAUGUGACUGCUGAAGAAAAGUACAUACCCGUUAGAGGUCCAGCAUUGUGUGAGCAACAACUUGUCCAAUCCUGGAUCAGAAGUUCUCUCCGCUAAUCGGUCACACACGGAGAGGGUUUGGUUUCCUGUACAGCA